rnacentral:tmRNA from 1 species
GGGGCCGAUCCGGAUUCGACGUGGGUCGCGAAACAACUCAGGGCAUGCCGAGCACCAGUAAGCUCGUAAAACCACUGGAACACAUUAAACGCAAACGAAGAGCGUUUCGCUCUCGCCGCUUAAGCGGUGAGCCGCUGCACUGAUCUGUCCUUGGGUCAGGCGAGGGAAGGCAACUUCCUAGGGGGCAACCUCGAAUCGCAGCAGCGUCCUUUACAAGGAAUCGGUCUGCGCUGGGGUCACACGGUUCAGUCUUAAAUUACGUGAAUCGCCAUGGUCCGGCCUGUCGAUCGGCUAAGUCCAUGGUUAAAACUAAAUAGGUCGACUACGCAUGUAGAACUGGUUGCGGAGGGCUUGCGGACGGGGGUUCAAUUCCCCCCGGCUCCACCA